rnacentral:snRNA from 1 species
ACUCAUACCUUAUAGGAAAAAUGCCAUGUUGUCAAAAUGAUUUUCCCAGGGAGAGGCUUAUCCAUUGCAUUUUGGGUGUGUUGUUGACCCCUGUGUUUUCCCCAAAUGUGGGGAACUCAACUAUGUAAUUUGUGUUAAUGAGGGCAUUAUGUUUGUGAUUUCUCUGU